GCCAUCCUUUUUUCUUUUUUUUGGUAGAUUUGUUAAGAAGAUCUUAUUAAAGUGACUCUCACACAGAUUUUAUGUUUGCAGCAUGAAGUGCAAUAAAGAGAAGACACAAAACUUCAAACACUCAAAGUGGCGGUUCAUCCUAAAAUCAAAUUUCUAUAUUUUUCCUGUGGCCUGCAGUACUGUGUCUCCAUCUAGACUGUUUUGCUAAAGAAGUCUGUCGUGACAAGAGGCGUGCGCUAGUGACAGCGAGACAGGAUGUAAAAUUAAUGGCAUCCCCCCCCUCAAGCUGAGCGGUAAUGAUAGCUCGCUGCUUGCUUCAUUUAUAUGGAGGAUGUAGACAGUGGAAAGAAACGUGUAAAAGGCUGGUGAGGUAUUUUUUACAUUUUUUUUUCCUUUAUAUUUAGUAUUUUAUUUUAUUCUAUUCUUUACAGUUGUGUACAGUAUUCUUAUUUCUAUUCUAUUUUUAUUGUAUUCUAAUUUUGCUAUAUAACUUUUCCACUGUCCACUUCCUGCUGUGACAAAACAAAUUUCCCACGUGUGGGACUAAUAAAGGUUAUCUUAUCUUAUCUUAUUUUUUUUUCUUGUUGUCGUUUGAGAACCACAAAGGAAGUGCCAUCUAGUAGACUGAUUUUUAAAAAACCACUACAGGCCAGAGGUGAAGAGGAAAGUGCAAGCAGGGUGGAGUGGGUACAGGCAAGUUUCAGGAGUGAUUUAUGACAGAAGGAGAGCAGCAAGAGUGAAAAGGAAGGUUUACCAGGUUUUACUGAGACCUGUUAUGAUGUAUGGUUUUGAGACAGUGGUGCUGACAGAAAGACAGGAGGCAGGGCUGGAGGUGGCGGCCUCUCUCAAGAUGCUCAGAUUAGUUUGGUUGAGAGUGGCCAGAAUGGACAUGACUAGAAAUGAGUGUAUUGGAGAGACGGCACAGGUGGAGCUGUUUGAAGACAAAGUUAGAGAGGUAGGAUGAGAUGGUUUGGAUAGUGGAGUUGAAUUUGGAGCUGCCAGACAGGAUGAGAAGAGGAAGACCGCUGAGAAGAUUCAUGUAUGUACUGAAGGAGGAUAUGCAGAGGGUUUCAGUUUUUCCAGUAUCUCCACAUUUCUAAUGCUGAACACUCUGUUUUCUUUUAUUAGGAUAUAUCAAGGAUUAAAUGCUUAGUUGAAUGUGUUUACACCAACAGAAAGAGGAGUUUCACUGGUUCGGCCCACUUAAGAUCAGAGUGGGGCAUUUGUGGUCCACGAUGUAAAAUUUGACAUCCCCGCUUUAAGUUUCUUGGUUUGUUUAACCCACAUUAAAAAUCUCUGUCAUGUUCACUUUUGCUGUUAGUUUAACAAGCAGUAGUUACCUUCUGGAAAUUAAAGAUGUCAUACAUGCAUUCUGCUGCACUCCAGGUGUGUUCUUUAAAAAAGUGUUUGAUUAAUGACUUGACUUUGGUUUGGAGCUGGCUGAGACUCUAUGGGAGGAAAAAUUCUGGAGUAAUUGUUGUGACUCAAAUCAUUACGAAACAGAAAUGAUAA